rnacentral:rRNA from 1 species
GGACGAACGCUGGCGGCGUGCUUAACACAUGCAAGCCGAACGGAAAGGCCCUGCUUUUGUGGGGUGCUCGAGUGGCGAACGGGUGAGUAACACGUGAGUAACCUGCCCUUGACUUUGGGAUAACUUCAGGAAACUGGGGCUAAUACCGGAUAGGAGCUCCUGCUGCAUGGUGGGGGUUGGAAAGUUUCGGCGGUUGGGGAUGGACUCGCGGCUUAUCAGCUUGUUGGUGGGGUAGUGGCUUACCAAGGCUUUGACGGGUAGCCGGCCUGAGAGGGUGACCGGCCACAUUGGGACUGAGAUACGGCCCAGACUCCUACGGGAGGCAGCAGUGGGGAAUAUUGCACAAUGGGCGGAAGCCUGAUGCAGCAACGCCGCGUGCGGGAUGACGGCCUUCGGGUUGUAAACCGCUUUCGCCUGUGACGAAGCGUGAGUGACGGUAAUGGGUAAAGAAGCACCGGCUAACUACGUG